UACGGAGGGUCCAAGCGUUGUCCGGAUUUAUUGGGUUUAAAGGGUACGUAGGCGGGAUUUUAAGUCAGCGGUGAAAGCCUCCAGCUCAACUGGAGAACUGCCAUUGAAACUGAAAUUCUUGAAUAUGGAUGAGGUGGUUGGAAUAUAACAUGUAGCGGUGAAAUGCUUAGAUAUGUUAUAGAACACCAAUUGCGAAGGCAGAUCACUAAACCAUUAUUGACGCUGAGGUACGAAAGCGUGGGGAGCGAACAGG
rnacentral:rRNA from 1 species